rnacentral:rRNA from 1 species
ACGCUCGACACCUACUGGAGGCAGCAGUGGGGAAUAUUGCGCAAUGGGGGCAACCCUGACGCAGCAACGCCGCGUGAUUGAAGAAGGCCUUGGGUUGUAAAGAUCUUUAAUCAGGGACGAAACAUGACGGUACCUGAAGAAUAAGCUCCGGCUAACUACGUGCCAGCAGCCGCGGUAAUCUGAGCGGGCUGGCAAGGC